rnacentral:lncRNA from 10 species
GCUGGCUGCUAGCCCUGGAUCCCUUGUUUCCUGAGGUACUCAACUUCCCAGCCUCCCUUGCAGCUAGUGGUAAUCAUGUGACCCACUUCUGGCCAGUAAGAUGAAAAAAGGAAGUUCACUGGACUGGCAGAGGGAGCUUGGGAGGGCUUUUGCUGAUGCCACUUGUUCUUCUUGCCAUAAAGGGCCCCACUCAAGGCACCAUCCUCUCCUGGGUGGAGGCUACAGCCUCUGAUCAUCUGCUGUAUGAUGAUUCACUGUGAUGGCAAAGUGGGAGGAGAUGCUGAUCCUGAAAACAGUAUUUAUGGUGCAAAUCUCAUCCAUGCAACAGGACAAUUCCAGGGCUUACGUCUUCUCCUCCUGGAGCCUCCAUUGCUCUCAACUCAAUAAACACUAAAUAAGACUUGCCCGGUGUCUGACUUCCAGGCAACAAUGCACACAGAAGUUACAAGUGUGGAUACUAGAGUCAGAGCCUGGAUUCCAAUGCUGCUUCUUAACAGCUGUGUGACUUUCCACAAGUAAUGCAACAUCUCUGGGUCUCUGUUUCCUGUUCUGCAAAAUGGGGGUACUGUCUACUUGCCCCAGGGACCUGCUGUGCUGAGGAUCAUUCCCAGGAAGCACCUAGCACCAUGCUGGGUCCUGGCAAGCCACUGACAAAUGUUCACUGUCACAAUGGCCCUGCUUCCUCUGGUGCUCGGCACCAGGCUGACAUCGAGUACACAGUCAAUGAAGAAACAAGGAGACUCUGCAAGGAGAUACAUUAGGAUGAUGUACUGACAAAGCCUUGGGAAAACUGCUGGUGCCUUUGCUGGGGGGAAGAUUUCCAGAUGGAGCUCCUCAGGAUGGCCUGCCAAUCCAAUAAACUCAGGUUCCUAGAAAGCCUCCCCCACCCCACCCCACCCCCACUCUGUAAGCCCCACCCAAACCAGGACAGCAGCAAUUCUCCCCUUCCCCUGGUGUGCCUUCCCCGGUGGUCUGUUUCUUUAGGACAGGAACGCAGCUGUCUGGAAGGCACCCAGGGAAGCCAUUCCUUGGGACAUGUCCCCUGACCCACCCCCGGCAAGGCUGGGAUGACAGAAGGACAAACCCAGCCAAACAUAUGGACCCGUGGCCCAGGAUAGGCAACAGCUGGGCCACUGCCUGACUUUUCUUCUGCUCCUUGGAAUAUUCUGGCAAUGAGAAGACAUAGUCUCAGCAACUUAUAGACAUUUUCCCAGGAAAUCCUAACCGCUAAGGGAACAAUUUGCUCCAUUCUCACACAUUUCAAUCUACUUAUUUGGAAGACCAAUCCUUGCGUGGGCAUGCACGCACAUGCGCGCGCGCGCGCACACACACACACACACACACACACACACACACACCCUUCAUGUGGUCUUGUGUAGAAGUACACAAACCUGAUAAUAGCAACCACUAAUAUUUAGUAUAUGCUAAGUAAUAAAAGUAGCUACUAUAGUCAUCAUCUCAUAUAGUCCUCACAACAAGCAUUGAGACAGGGGCUCUAUCCACAUUUCACAGAUGAGGACACAGAGGUGGGCUGCCUUUCACAGAACAAGCUGCUAGCCAUGCUGGGGCUGGCGUCGGAGCCCAGGUCUAAGAACUCUGGUACAAGGAAUCCACUCCCUUUCCCGGAUUUGCCUCCUCCACCUGUGCUUAAGGAGUUAACCUUGUCGGAGAGGUUUUCUUUCCUUGGUUAUGUUUUCUAUUCUUUGGGUAAGUUUGACAAAGUGGGGUUCUUUUUCAUCGCCAGAGUCUGUGUCCCUGGAGGCUGAGGAAGGAACCAGAAGUUGCACUUUCCAACAUGGAUCGCCUGCUAAUUUUCCAAGGCAGCUCAGCCCCUGCCAGCGUCCCCUCCCUCCUUUGGGCUGAGGGCCCAGGAACCCAGCCUCAAAGUUCAGCUUGCUUCCUCCAGCACGCACAUUUGGAAAUUGAAAUUUCCCACAUUUUCACCACACAAAAGCCAGGUUGUAUUUUUGUUCUCUUCAAAAUAUGCCAAAGGAAUUUUUCCUACCCCUUGAACUUUCUCCAAAAAUAAGUAGAAAAAGUCAAGACCAUUUUGCCCUGUAAGCUGAGAAUAGAAAAAUCAACAUGCAGGGUGCCAUUUCCAGGAUGUUACGAAACAGCGAACAUGUGAAUCCGUCUCAACACCAUUUGGCAACUUUGGGGAUACAGUAGAUGAUAUUUCUCACCCACAAACUCCUCACUGAGUUUAUAUUAACAUUUUGCUUUUUUUUUUUAAAAAAAAAGAAAAAAGAUUCUGAAAAAGGUAAGAAGCCUUGAUAAAUUACCACCACCUGGAUUAAAAUUCAGAGUCAGCACACUGACCACCAGCAAAUAAAACAUGAAACUAUACAGAUAACUUAGUAAAACAAAAAACGAUAGUGGCCCAAGAUAAAUUAAACUUG